rnacentral:lncRNA from 1 species
CAGUUUCAUGGUUCAAGAAGUGGAAUAUCAUGCUAUUUUACUCUAUGAUUGUGGUUCUCCAUAGAGCUCUUUUGUGCUUAGGCAAACUGUACUUAAACCUAUAGUUUUACACUUAGCCACUGUGCUUGCUUUGUUUUUAAGGAAGAAGAAACGCUGACUGCUAACAGCUACAACCAAUGCCACUUAUUGCUGCGUUUUGGAUACAUGGUUGCUAAAACAUCAGUUAUUCUGAGACAUCUGGUUCUAGGUGUUUCAAACUAGGAUUGUCAAUUGGUGAAGUCUUCUAAAACACCUAGCUUUGAUGCCUCACUUACUCCUAAUCUGUAAAUGUUCAAUCAAAUACUCAUCCCCCCUCCUCUGCUCCAAGCAUACGGACUGCUGAAAGGCCACUGAAGAAUGACACCUUCACAGCACAGAGAGGCCAAAAGAUGCGUAGCAGGGCACCAUGGGUCCAGAGAACUGCUUUUACGGUGAAGAUGCUGAAGAAGAGAAGCUGCAGAUGUUAUU